rnacentral:rRNA from 1 species
AGAAUCAACGCUGGCGGCGUGCCUAACACAUGCAAGUCGAGCGCGAAAGGGGAGCAAUCCCCAAGUAGAGCGGCGAACGGGUGAGUAACGCGUGGGUAAUCUACCUUCGAGUGGGGAAUAACAGCGGGAAACUGCUGCUAAUACCGCAUGACAUCGUCGUUUCUUCGGGAGUGACGAUCAAAGCCGGGGACCGCAAGGCCUGGCGCUUGAAGACGAGCCCGCGUCCGAUUAGCUAGUUGGCGGGGUAAUGGCCCACCAAGGCUCCGAUCGGUAGCC